rnacentral:rRNA from 1 species
AUUGAACGCUGGCGGCAGGCCUAACACAUGCAAGUCGAACGGUAACAGGAAGCAGCUUGCUGCUUCGCUGACGAGUGGCGGACGGGUGAGUAAUGUCUGGGAAACUGCCUGAUGGAGGGGGAUAACUACUGGAAACGGUAGCUAAUACCGCAUAACGUCGCAAGACCAAAGAGGGGGACCUUCGGGCCUCUUGCCAUCGGAUGUGCCCGGAUGGGAUUAGCUAGUAGGUGGGGUAACGGCUCACCUAGGCGACGAUCCCUAGCUGGUCUGAGAGGAUGACCAGCCACACUGGAACUGAGACACGGUCCAGACUCCUACGGGAGGCAGCAGUGGGGAAUAUUGCACAAUGGGCGCAAGCCUGAUGCAGCCAUGCCGCGUGUAUGAAGAAGGCCUUCGGGUUGUAAAGUACUUUCAGCGGGGAGGAAGGGAGUAAAGUUAAGACCUUUGCUCAUUGACGUUACCCGCAGAAGAAGCACCGGCUAACUCCGUG